rnacentral:rRNA from 1 species
AUUGAACGCUGGCGGCAGGCCUAACACAUGCAAGUCGAGCGGAGCGGCGGACGGGUGAGUGAUGCCUAGGAAUCUGCCUGGUAGUGGGGGAUAACGCCCGGAGACGGGCGCUAAUACCACAUACUAUCAUAUGAGCCUAGGUCGGAUUAGCUAGUUUGGGGGGUAAAGGCCUACCAAGGCGACGAUCCGUAACGGGUCUGAGAGGAUGAUGAGUCACACUGGCACUGAGACACGGCCCAGACUCCUACGUGAGGCAGCAGUUGGGAAUAUUGGACAAUGGGCGAAAGCCUGAUCCAGCCAUGCCGCGUGUGUGAAGAAGGUCUUCGGAUUGUAAAGCACUUUAAGUUGGGAGGCGGUACCAAAAGAAUAAGCACCGGCUAACUACGUGCCAGCCGCCGCGGUAAUAC